rnacentral:rRNA from 1 species
CCUACGGGGCGCAGCAGUGAGGAAUAUUGGUCAAUGGGCGGAAGCCUGAACCAGCCAAGUCGCGUGAGGGAAUAAGGCCCUACGGGUCGUAAACCUCUUUUGCCGGGGAGCAAUGCCGGGCACGCGUGCCCGGAGGGAGAGUACCCGCAGAAUAAGCAUCGGCUAACUCCGUGCCAGCAGCCGCGGUAAUACGGAGGAUGCGAGCGUUAUCCGGAUUUAUUGGGUUUAAAGGGUGCGUAGGCGGAUUUUUAAGUCAGCGGUAAAAUGUCCGGGCUCAACCCGGGCCGGCCGUUGAACCUGGGGAU